rnacentral:rRNA from 1 species
UACAGAGGUCCCGAGCGUUGUUCGGAUUCACUGGGCGUAAAGGGUGCGUAGGCUGCCUGCCAAGUCUGCUGUGAAAGCGCCUGGCUUAACCGGGCGAGGUCGGUGGAAACUGGCGGGCUGGAGGACGGUAGAGGGGGGUGGAAUUCCCGGUGUAGUGGUGAAAUGCGUAGAUAUCUGGAGGAACACCGGUGGUGGAGGCGGCAUCCUGGACCGGCAUUGACGCUGAGGCGCGAAAGCCAGGGGAGCAAACGGG